rnacentral:ncRNA from 1 species
AAAAUAUUUCAUUGACGUACAAAAUUAGCUAUACCAAUUAAACUACAUAUAGCAGCCCACGCGCAUUGUGCAUAACGGACUUAUCUUAAUAAACCUUUAAAAGCUAUCUUAGGAUAUAGCCCAAAGACAUUCUAACACGAGUGUCUAACAUCUUUUCACAACACCAAUGUCCUAUAUUAUGUUUUGUUAGGAAACUAAGCCAUAGAAAAUAAGUAAAAGGGGUGGCAAAAGAUGGUGCCAGCAGUCGCGGUUAUACCAAUACCCCAAGCCAAUUCCAACAAAUCGGAGUAAUUUUAACCCUUUAAAGAUCACAAGAUUAAUUUUUAAUGUAAAAAAUAAAUUAAAACCAAACCCUAACCGAUCUUAGCUUAAUUAUCCCAACAAACCAUAACCUCAAAACUCGGAUUAGAUACCCGACUAUUGUAUGGCCCAACAUAAAAAAGAAUACUACGAGCGAAAGCUUAAACCUCAAACAAUGUGGCGGUGCUUUAUUCCUCAUCAGGGGAUCCUGUGGCUUAAUUCGAUAAUCCACGAAGAUCUUAGCUAUUUUAGUACACACAGCUUGUGUAUGGCCGUUUAUGCUUGCUCAAAGAAGAGAAAGAAGGAAGCAACAGGACUUACUAUCCAAAAAUUCAGGUGACAUACAGCCAAUGAACAGCAGAUCCAUGGGAUACAAAUAAAUAUUUUUAUCAAAUUUAAAGUUUUAAACUUUAAUGAAGGAGGACUUGAAAGUAAGGCUUGAUACUUAUACAAAAUAAGUCUGAACAAGAACUAAAGCGCGCACAAAUCGCCCGUCACUCCGACAAUAAAGUAGGAUAAGUCGUAACAUAGUAGGGGUAAUGGAAAUUGCCCCUAUCACA